UACGUAGGGGCCGAGCGUUGUCCGGAGUUAUUGGGCGGAAAGCGCGCGCAGGCGGCCUCGCGCGCCCGACGUGAAAGCCCCCGGCUUAACCGGGGAGGGUCGUUGGGGACGGCGGGGCUUGAGGGCGGGAGAGGUCGGUGGAAUUCCCGGUGUAGUGGUGAAAUGCGUAGAGAUCGGGAGGAACACCUGUGGCGAAGGCGGCCGACUGGGCCGACCCUGACGCUGAGGCGCGAAGGCGUGGGGAGCGAACGGG
rnacentral:rRNA from 1 species